AAAGAUUUUGGCGGUAUUUUAGUCUAUUUAGAGGAACCUGUUCUAUAAUUGAUAUUCCACGAUUAAUUUUACUUAAAUUAAAUAAUUUGUAUAUCGUCGUUAUUAGAAUAUUUUAAAAGAAUAUUAAUAUUCAUAAUUUUUAUUAAAAAAUAAAUCAGAUCAAGGUGCAGUUUAUAUUUAAGGUAGAAAUGGGUUACAUUAAUUUAAAAUUUUGGAUUUAAAAUUGAAAAUUUUAAUUAAAUUGGAUUUGAAAGUAAUAAAAAUAAUUUAAUUUUUAUGAUUUUAGCUCUAAAAUAUGUACAUAUCGCCCGUCGCUCUCAUUUAAAGUGAGAUAAGUCGUAACAAAGUAGAUGUAUUGGAAAAUGUAUCUAGAAAGACAAAUUAGAGCUUGAAAUAAAGCAUUUUAUUUACAUUAAAAAGUUAAUUGUGUGAUUCAAUUUAAUGAUAUUUAAAUAUUUAUUUUAUUUUAAUAUUUAACUAAAAUAUUAUUAAGUUUUAUUAUUUUAAGAAAAAAUUAUUUUAAUUAUAAUUAAUUAGUAUUGUGAAAGAAAAUUUAAAUAUUUGAAAAUUUAAAUAUUUUAAAGAAAAAUUUAAUUUUUGUACCUUGUGUAUCAGGGUUUAUUAAUUAAUAAUUAUAUAUUUAAUUUUCUCGAUUUUGGAAGAGUUAAAAAAAUAUUUAUUUUAUUGUAUAAUAAAUAUUUAAAAUAUUUUUUUUGAAAUGAAACGUUAUUCGUUUCCAAAUAUAUCUAGUUUUUUUAGAAAAGAAUUAAAUUCUUUAAUUAAUUAUUAAUUUUUAUAAUUGUAUAAAAAUUAUAAUUAAUUUAAAAAAAAUUUAGGGAUAAGCUUAAAUUUUGAAUAUUAUAAAUUAUUUUAAAUAAAAUUAUUGUAGGAUUAGAAAUUUUCAUCUUUAAAUUUGUUAUAAUUAAAAUUUUAUUAUAUAAAAUUUAUAUUUAUUUUAAUUUUUUUAUAAAAAUAAUUUAUUUAAUUAAUAAAUAAAUGUAUUUAUGAUAAAAUUAGUAUUAAUAUUUGUAACUAUAAUUAUAAAUUAAGGUUAAAUUAAGGAAUUCGGCAAAUAAAUUUUUCGCCUGUUUAAUAAAAACAUGUCUUUUUGAUAAUAAUUUAAAGUCUAAUCUGCCCACUGAUUUUUAAAGGGCCGCAGUAUUUUGACUGUGCUAAGGUAGCAUAAUAAUUAGUUUUUUAAUUGAAAGCUGGAAUGAAUGAUUGGACGAGAAAAUAACUGUCUCAAUUUGAUUGUAAAAGAAUUUUAUUUUUAAGUUAAAAAGCUUAAAUUUAUUUAAAAGACGAGAAGACCCUAUAGAGUUUUAUAUUAUUAUUAUUAUAGAAUUUAAAGGAUAUCUAUUUUUUUUUAAUAAUAAUAA
rnacentral:rRNA from 1 species